rnacentral:rRNA from 1 species
GAUGAACGCUGGCUACAGGCUUAACACAUGCAAGUCGAGGGGAAACGGCAUUGAGUGCUUGCACUGAAUGGACGUCGACCGGCGCACGGGUGAGUAACGCGUAUCCAACCUUCCCGUUACUUGCGGGAUAACCUGCCGAAAGGCAGACUAAUACCGCAUGUUCUUCGAUGACGGCAUCAGAUUCGAAGCAAAGACUCGUCGGUAACGGAGGGGGAUGCGUCUGAUUAGCUAGUUGGCGGGGCGACGGCCCACCAAGGCGACGAUCAGUAGGGGUUCUGAGAGGAAGGUCCCCCACAUUGGAACUGAGACACGGUCCAAACUCCUACGGGAGGCAGCAGUGAGGAAUAUUGGUCAAUGGGCGGAAGCCUGAACCAGCCAAGUAGCGUGCAGGAGGACGGCCCUACGGGUUGUAAACUGCUUUUAUGCGGGGAUAAAGUGAGGGACGCGUCCCUUUUUGCAGGUACCGCAUGAAUAAGGACCG